AGAACGAACGCUGGCGGCAGGCUUAACACAUGCAAGUCGAACGGUUGUAGCAAUACAGCCGUGGCGCACGGGUGAGUAACGCGUGGGAACGUACCUUUCAGUCGGGAAUAACAGCGGGAAACUGCUGACAAUACCCGAUAUUCUCUACGGAGGAAAGAUUUAUCGCUGAAAGAUCGGCCCGCGUCAGAUUAGCUAGUUGGUGGGGUAAUGGCCUACCAAGGCUCCGAUCUGUAGCUGGUCUGAGAGGACGACCAGCCACACUGGAACUGAGACACGGUCCAGACUCCUACGGGAGGCAGCAGUGGGGAAUAUUGGACAAUGGGCGAAAGCCUGAUCCAGCCAUGCCGCGUGAAUGAUGAAGGCCUUAGGGUUGUAAAGUUCUUUUGUCGAGGGAAGAUAAUGACGGUACCUGAAGAAUAAGCACCGGCUAACUUCGUGCCAGCAGCCGC
rnacentral:rRNA from 1 species